GUGCCGUGAUGUAACUGUCAACACAUCAUUCUGAAGAAUAAUUGUGUGGAGACCUGUAACUGAGCACC
rnacentral:snoRNA from 1 species